rnacentral:rRNA from 1 species
UACAGAGGUCUCAAGCGUUGUUCGGAUUCAUUGGGCGUAAAGGGUGCGUAGGUGGCGCCAUAAGUCGGGUGUGAAAUCUCGGGGCUUAACUCCGAAACUGCAUUCGAUACUGUGGUGCUUGAGGACUGGAGAGGAGACUGGAAUUCAUGGUGUAGCAGUGAAAUGCGUAGAGAUCAUGAGGAAGACCAGUGGCGAAGGCGGGUCUCUGGACAGUUCCUGACACUGAGGCACGAAGGCCAGGGGAGCAAACAGG